rnacentral:lncRNA from 1 species
GGCACCACCGUAACCACCAUAACCACCAUAUCCCAUACCAUUAUUGGCAGGACCAUACCCAUAGCCAGGUGCACUGUACCCAGAAGAACCAUAAGGUGGAAAACCACCUCCUGUAUUCUGAGGUUGCAUGUAUCUAUUGGAAUCCAUUCGACCAUCAUAUGUAGUUGGGUUACCCCCAGAAGCACCAUAGCCCUGAUAACCUCCUGCAACCGCACCUGCACCACCACCCAUAGAACGGCUUCCCCCACCUGGGUUGGCAUCUUUAGGAAGGGCCCGCUUAACUUCCACUUGCUUACCAUUCAAAUCAUGAAA